GAGCUUGGACGCAAGGCUUCCAUGAGGCUGUGAAGGAGGCUGCAUGGAAACCGGUGGGGACCUGAAAAGCUUUUAGUGGCCUCGCCACAUACAGCACUUUAGAUGCUCAGGUGACGAGCAACAUUUUCCAAGCCCAGCUAGUGAGCACCCCACCUGCUCUGGCUUCCAGAACCUGGUGUGGAGGGCCGGGGGAGGCUUCGGGACUGAAGAGCAGAGCAGCAGACUCCGGGGCUCAUGUAGGAACAUGCCUUCAGCCAAAGAUUAUCCAUGCUGCAUGGAGACUCUUGCUAAAUAUCACUGAUGGAAUCUCACUCUGUCACCCAGGCUGCAGUGCGUGGCAUGAUGUCGGCUCACUGCAACCUCCACCUCUCGGGUUCAAGUGAUUCUCCUGCCUCAGCCUCCUGAGUAGCUGAGAUUACAGGCGUGCGCCACCACACCCUGCUAAUUUUUGUAUUUUUAGUAAAGAUGGGGUUUCAC
rnacentral:antisense_RNA from 1 species